CGAAGACCUGCUGGGCCGGCUGACCAGCAGGGUGCUGGUGCCGCCCGAGCCCGGCGAGACCCCGCUGGCCGCGCUCGAGGCGCUGGCCUUCGGC
rnacentral:tRNA from 1 species